GAAAUCCUGGUGCCCACACAGCUCUGUGUCCUGGCGUGGAGCUGAUGUUCAGAACAUGUUUGCUCGAGAAUUCUCAAGGCUCCUAGAUGGUCUUUCCCUUCCCUGAUGUUUCCAGUGUUCACAACAACGUUAACAUCACCGGCGUAUAAACAGCUCUUUCCUGUUCCAAGAGCCAGAGAAGCAGUCCAGGAAAAAUGGAUGGAGGCUAUAAAUAGGACAAUUUCAGAACAUGAAUUCUGCAAGGCCAGUAAUCAUGUGAAAUUUUCUUUCAAUGACACUGGAAACUGUCUUUCCAAAUAUACCGAUGAACGUAUUUAAAAGAGGACUUGCUACCCUUAUGCCUGCAUGGGUAGAGGCUGCCUGUGCUGGGAAGGCAGAAACUGUCUUUCCAAAUAUACCG